AAGAUGGCUGCCUUUUGGCGUCUCCAGCGCUGUUGAAUGGAGAAAGCUUUAUUGUUCCCUUCGGGCAGGAGUGUUCGUGUUCUCUAUGGCGCUGUCAAUAAAGAACGGCAGUUUGAAUCGGUACUGAACAGUUUCAGUGGUGCUGGGGAUGGAAUCCAGGGCCUCUUGUAUGCUGGGUAAGUGCUGCGCACGGGAGCUUCACACCCCCUUUCUGAGACAGAAACUCAAGUAUCCUAGAGUCACUUCAAACUGUGUGUCCAAGGACAACUUUAAACUUCGGAUCCUCCUCCCUCUACGUCUUGAGUUCCGGGUUUACGAUUAUUGGGCAUGAUGGUGCAUGCUCACACUUUCGAAUCUGAGACAGAACGAUCAGGAGUUGGAGGCAGCCCAGUCUACAGGAAACCCUGUGCUUGUGUGUAUAUGCACAUGCUAGAGAGUGUACCCGGUAUGGUAGCACAUGGCUUAUAACCUCAGUACUUCAGAGGCAGGGGCAGACAGGUCUAUGCAAAUUUGAGGCCAGCCUGGUCUACAUAGCAAGGUCCAGUGUGAGACACUGUCUUAAAGCAUUGAAAGACAAAGGAAGAGGAGAGGGAAGAGUAGGAGGAGGAGACAGCAUUUCUUCCACACUAUUAGAAAUCCUAAAGUGUGGGCUGGAGAGAUGGCUCAGCGGUUAAGAGCACUGACUGCUCUUCCAGAGGUGCUGAGUUCAAUUCCCAGCAACCACAUGGUGGCUCACAACCAUCUGUAAUGGGAUCCAAUGCCCUUUUCUGGUGUCUGAAGACAGCUACAGUGUACUCAUAUAAAUAAAAUAAAUAAAUAUU
rnacentral:lncRNA from 1 species